AGGUCGGUGAAAUAAAACAGGGCCU
rnacentral:sRNA from 1 species